rnacentral:rRNA from 1 species
ACGCUCGACACCUACGGAGGCAGCAGUAGGGAAUCUUCCACAAUGGGCGCAAGCCUGAUGGAGCAACACCGCGUGAGUGAAGAAGGGUUUCGGCUCGUAAAGCUCCGUUGUUGGAGAAGAACGUGCGUGAGAGUAACUGUUCACGCAGUGACGGUAUCCAACCAGAAAGUCACGGCUAACUACGUGCUAGCAGCCGCGGUAAUCUGAGCGGGCUGGCAAGGC